rnacentral:tRNA from 1 species
ACCUGGGUGGCUCAGUCGGUUGAGCAUCUGACUUAGGCUCAGGUCAUGAUCUCACAGUUCGUGGGUUCAAGCCCCUCAUCAGGCU